UACGGGGGGUGCAAGCGUUAUUCGGAAUUAUUGGGCGUAAAGAGCGCGUAGGCGGUCUUUUAAGUCAGAUGUGAAAGCCCGGGGCUCAACCCCGGAAGUGCAUUUGAAACUAAGGGACUUGAGUAUGGGAGAGGGAAGUGGAAUUCCUGGUGUAGAGGUGAAAUUCGUAGAUAUCAGGAGGAACACCGGUGGCGAAGGCGACUUCCUGGACCAAUACUGACGCUGAGGCGCGAAGGCGUGGGGAGCAAACAGG
rnacentral:rRNA from 1 species